GACGAACGCUGGCGGCGUGCUUAACACAUGCAAGUCGAACGGUAAGGCCCUUCGGGGUACACGAGUGGCGAACGGGUGAGUAACACGUGGGUGAUCUGCCCUGCACUUCGGGAUAAGCUUGGGAAACUGGGUCUAAUACCGGAUAGGACCACGGUCUGCAUGGAUUGUGGUGGAAAGCUUUUGCGGUGUGGGAUGGGCCCGCGGCCUAUCAGCUUGUUGGUGGGGUGAUGGCCUACCAAGGCGACGACGGGUAGCCGGCCUGAGAGGGUGUCCGGCCACACUGGGACUGAGAUACGGCCCAGACUCCUACGGGAGGCAGCAGUGGGGAAUAUUGCACAAUGGGCGCAAGCCCGAUGCAGCGACGCCGCGUGGGGGGAUGACGGCCUUCGGUUGUAAACCUCUUUCAGCAGGGACGAAGGGU
rnacentral:rRNA from 1 species